UACGUAGGGUCCGAGCGUUGUCCGGAAUUAUUGGGCGUAAAGGGCUCGUAGGCGGUUUGUCGCGUCGGGAGUGAAAACACGGGGCUUAACCCCGUGCCUGCUUCCGAUACGGGCAGACUAGAGGUAUGCAGGGGAGAACGGAAUUCCUGGUGUAGCGGUGAAAUGCGCAGAUAUCUGGAGGAACACCGGUGGCGAAGGCGGCAUCCUGGACCGAGAUCGACGCUGAGGCGCGAAAGCUAGGGGAGCAAACGGGG
rnacentral:rRNA from 1 species